UGGGGAAUUUUGCACAAUGGGGGAAACCCUGAUGCAGCGACGCCGCGUGAUUUAGAAGGCCUUCGGGUUGUAAAAAUCUUUUCUAUGGGAAGAAAAUGACAGUACCAUAGGAAUAAGGACCGGCUAAUUACGUGCCAGCAGCCGCGGUAAUACGUAAGGUCCGAGCGUUGUCCGGAAUCAUUGGGCGUAAAGGGUACGUAGGCGGGUAAGCAAGUUAGAAGUGAAAUCCUGUAGCUCAACUACAGUAAGCUUUUAAAACUGCUCAUCUUGAGGUAUGGAAGGGAAAGUGGAAUUCCUAGUGUAGCGGUGAAAUGCGCAGAUAUUAGGAGGAAUACCGGUGGCGAAGGCGACUUUCUGGCCAUAAACUGACGCUGAGGUACGAAAGCGUGGGUAGCAAACAGG
rnacentral:rRNA from 1 species